UACGGAGGGUCGAGCGUUAAUCGGAAUACUGGCGUAAAGCGCACGCAGGCGGUUUGUUAAGCUAGAUGUGAAAGCCCCCGGGCUCAACCUGGGAUGGUCAUUUAGAACUGGCAGACUAGAGUCUUGGAGAGGGGAGUGGAAUUCCAGGUGUAGCGGUGAAAUGCGUAGAUAUCUGGAGGAACAUCAGUGGCGAAGGCGACUCCCUGGCCAAAGACUGACGCUCAUGUGCGAAAGUGUGGGGCGAACAGGA
rnacentral:rRNA from 1 species